GAUGAACGCUGGCGGCGUGCCUAAUACAUGCAAGUCGAGCGAACAGACGAGGAGCUUGCUCCUCUGACGUUAGCGGCGGACGGGUGAGUAACACGUGGAUAACCUACCUAUAAGACUGGGAUAACUUCGGGAAACCGGAGCUAAUACCGGAUAAUAUAUUGAACCGCAUGGUUCAAUAGUGAAAGACGGUUUUGCUGUCACUUAUAGAUGGAUCCGCGCCGCAUUAGCUAGUUGGUAAGGUAACGGCUUACCAAGGCAACGAUGCGUAGCCGACCUGAGAGGGUGAUCGGCCACACUGAAACUGAGACACGGUCCAGACUCCGACGGGAGGCAGCAGUAGGGAAUCUUCCGCAAUGGGCGAAAGCUUGACGGAGCAACGCCGCGUGAGUGAUGAAGGUCUUCGGAUCGUAAAACGCUGUUAUUAGGGAAGAACAAAUGUGUAAGUAACUAUGCACGUCUUGACGGUACCGAAUCAGAAAGCCACGGCUAACUACGU
rnacentral:rRNA from 1 species